rnacentral:rRNA from 1 species
GACCAGACUCCUACGGGAGGCAGCAGUGGGGAAUAUUGCACAAUGGGGGAAACCCUGAUGCAGCGACGCCGCGUGAGCGAUGAAGUAUUUCGGUAUGUAAAGCUCUAUCAGCAGGGAAGAAAAUGACGGUACCUGACUAAGAAGCCCCGGCUAACUACGUGCCAGCAGCCGCGGUAAUACGUAGGGGGCAAGCGUUAUCCGGAUUUACUGGGUGUAAAGGGAGCGUAGACGGCUGUGCAAGCCAGAUGUGAAAGCCCGGGGCUCAACCCCGGGACUGCAUUUGGAACUGUGUGGCUGGAGUGUCGGAGAGGCAGGCGGAAUUCCUAGUGUAGCGGUGAAAUGCGUAGAUAUUAGGAGGAACACCAGUGGCGAAGGCGGCCUGCUGGACGAUGACUGACGUUGAGGCUCGAAAGCGUGGGGAGCAAACAGGAUUAGAUACCCCCGUACA